UGGGGAAUCUUGCACAAUGGGGGAAACCCUGAUGCAGCGACGCCGCGUGAGCGAUGAAGGUUUUCGAAUCGUAAAGCUCUGUCCUAUGGGAAGAUAAUGACGGUACCAUAGGAGGAAGCCCCGGCUAACUACGUGCCAGCAGCCGCGGGAAUACGUAGGGGGCGAGCGUUGUCCGGAAUUACUGGGCGUAAAGGGUUCGCAGGCGGCAUGACAAGUCCGAUGUAAAAGGCGAAAGCUCAACUUUCGUAAGCAUCGGAAACUGUCAAGCUUGAGUGAAGGAGAGGCAAGUGGAAUUCCUAGUGUAGCGGUGGAAUGCGUAGAUAUUAGGAGGAAUACCGGUGGCGAAGGCGACUUGCUGGACUUCAACUGACGCUGAGGAACGAAAGCGUGGGUAGCAAACAGG
rnacentral:rRNA from 1 species